CCUACGGGAGGCAGCAGUAGGGAAUCUUCCGCAAUGGACGAAAGUCUGACGGAGCAACGCCGCGUGAGCGAAGAAGGCCUUCGGGUCGUAAAGCUCUGUUGUUAGGGAAGAACAAGUACCGGAGUAACUGCCGGUACCGUGACGGUACCUAACCAGAAAGCCACGGCUAACUACGUGCCAGCAGCCGCGGUAAUACGUAGGUGGCAAGCGAUGUCCGGAAUUAUUGGGCGUAAAACGCGCGCAGGCGGUUCCUUAAGUCUGGUGUGAAAGCCGACGGCUCAACCGUGGAGGGUCAUUGGUAUAUUGGGAUCUUGAGUGCAGAAGAGGGGAGAGGAAUACCACGUGUAGCGGUGAAAUGCGGAGAGAUGUGGGGGAACGCCAGUAGCGAAGGGGGCUGUCUGGUCUGUAUCGGACGCUGAGGCGCGAAAGCGUGGGGAGCAAACAGGAUUAGAUGCCCCUGUAGUC
rnacentral:rRNA from 1 species